GCAAUACCCCCGGUAAAGUGGCGAACGGGUGAGUAACACGUGGGUAGCCUGCCCUCGAGUUCGGAAUAACCCGCCGAAAGGUGGGCUAAUACCGGAUAAAGUUCUUGGUUCCCCGGAAUCGAGAACCAAAGAUGGCCAAUGCUUGCAAGCUAUCACUUGAGGAGGGGCCCGCGGCCCAUUAGCUAGUUGGCGGGGUAAUGGCCCACCAAGGCAACGAUGGGUAGCCGGCCUGAGAGGGCGAUCGGCCACAUUGGAACUGAGACACGGUCCAGACUCCUACGGGAGGCAGCAGUGAGGAAUCUUGCGCAAUGGGCGAAAGCCUGACGCAGCAACGCCGCGUGGGUGAUGAAGGCCUUCGGGUCGUAAAACCCUGUCAGGUGGGAAGAAUCGGGUGGGGGCUAAUAUCCCCUGUCCUUGACUGUACCACCAGAGGAAGCCCCGGCUAACUCCGUGCCAGCAGCCGCGGUAAUACGGAGGGGGCCAGCGUUGUUCGGAAUUAUUGGGCGUAGAGGGCGCGUAGGCGGUCGAGUAAGUCUGACGUGAAAUCCCUUGGCUCAACCAAGGAAUUGCGUCUUAAACUGCUCGGCUUGAGUCCGGGAGAGGGUAGUGGAAUUCCCAGUGUAGCGGUGAAAUGCGUAGAUAUUGGGAGGAACACCGGUGGCGAAGGCGGCUACCUGGACCGGUACUGACGCUGAGGCGCGAAAGCUAGGGUAGCAAACAGGAUCAGAUACCCUGGUAGUCCUAGCUGUAAACGAUGGGCACUUGGUGUAGCGGGUAUCGACCCCUGCUGUGCCGAAGCUAACGCA
rnacentral:rRNA from 1 species